rnacentral:tRNA from 1 species
CAGAAAAUAGUUUAAUUAAAAUAAUAAUUUUGGAGAUUAUUGAUAAUAAAAUAUUAUUUUUUCUGA